UUAUUUAUUUUAUUAUAUUUAUUUUUUGUUUAUUUAAUUAUUUAAUAAAAAUAAUUUUAUUGAAUUUUGUCUUAGUAUAUUUUGUAGAAUUGAUUUUUUAAAUUAUAGUUUAUUGGUAAUGUAAUUGUUUUAUGAAAUAUUAUUUUAAAUUUUUAAAAGUAUAUUUUAUUUAUUGUACCUUUUGUAUCAGGGUUUAUCAAAAUUUUAGUAUUUAAUUUACUUGUCUCGAUUUGGGUUGAUUUAUAAAUAAUUUAUAGUUAAUGUAUCAUAAUUAUUAUUAAAUUAUUUAUGGAAAUGAAAUGUUAAUCGUUUCCCAAGAUAUCUAGUUUCUUAAGAAAAAUUUUAAUUUUUUAAAGUUAAUUGUUUUUAUUUAAUUUUUUAAUUAUAAAUAUUAACUUAUUUAUUCUUUAAGGGAUAAGCUUUGAAGUUAAUAACCUAUAAUUUGUUUUAUAAAAUAUAAUAGUAAGCUUUAAACCAGCUAUCUUUAUGAUUACGUUUUAGUUCAUUAUUUUCUAUUUUGAUUUUAUAAUUAUUUUAGGUUUUUUAUUAGGAUUAUUUAUUUAAUUUUAAAAUUUUUGUAAUAAUGAUAGAAUUAGUAUAUUUACUUGUAUAUAAUUUUUACCUUGUGAAUUUAUAAUAAGGAACUAGGCAAAAUUGAUUUCCGCCUGUUUAUCAAAAACAUGUCCUCUUGAAAAUACUUUGAGGUCUGGCCUGCUCACUGAGCGGAUUUUUAAAGAGCCGCGGUAUUUUGACCGUGCAAAGGUAGCAUAAUCAUUAGUCUCUUAAUUAGUGGCUGGAAUGAAUGGCUUGACGAGAAAUCAACUGUCUCUUAAUAAAUUUUUGAAUUUAAC
rnacentral:rRNA from 1 species